rnacentral:rRNA from 1 species
GCUCCAAUAGCGUAUAUUAAAGUUGUUGCAGUUAAAAAGCUCGUAGUCGGACUUCUGGUUGUGUUGCGGUCCGCCGCAAGGUGUGCACUGCGAAGGGCAACCAUCUGCUCGAGGACGGCGUGUGCCUUAAUUGGGUGUGCGGUGGACUCGGGGCCUUUACUUUGAAAAAAUUAGAGUGUUCAAAGCAGGCAUUGGCUUGA